CAGGGUCACUUGUCCGAACAGAGUCCUAUCCUACGCGGCGGAAGCGUGUGCCCUUUGACUUGCAUCGUCUACCUACCUCUGCCAUCCUCUACCAGCCGCAACUGCGAGGGCUGGAGGUGUACGAUCCAUAGCAGAAUUUUUGGCAAAGUCUAAGUCAGAAGAGACCCAGGAGGAAGUGCAGGUUCUGUUGGAUUCUUUGGUCCACGGCAAUCCCAAGUACCAAAAUCAAGUGUAUAAAGGUCUAAUAGCUUUGCUGCCCUGCGAGUCCCCGAAAGCCCAGCAGCUGUCCCUGCAGACUCUCAGGACUGCCCAGCCAAUCAUUGGGACCACACACCCCAGCAUCGUGGACUGCGUGCUGAAGGUGCUGGGCACGAUGCACCUGGAAGUCCAGUAUGAAGCCAUCGAGUUGAUCAAGGACCUGGUCGGUUACGAUGUGCGCCAGGCGCUGCUCAAAGGCCUCGUGGCGCUGCUGAUACCGUCGGUCAAGGAGACCUCCAAACUGCAGGCCAAGAUCCUCAGUGGUAAGGACCUGCUCAAAUGGGGCUGCCUGGGCCACGGGAGGGCGGUCUCUUGCCUCACGGCUGCCCCCUCCUCAGACCCCUCGGUUCUCCAGCUCACCCCCAGCCUGCCGAUGUUUUU
rnacentral:sRNA from 1 species